rnacentral:rRNA from 1 species
UACGAAGGGGGCUAGCGUUGCUCGGAAUUAUUGGGCGUAAAGAGCUCGUAGGCGGUUUGUUGCGUCGGCUGUGAAAUCCCGAGGCUCAACCUCGGGUCUGCAGUCGAUACGAGCAAACUAGAGUGUUGCAGGGGAGACUGGAAUUCCUGGUGUAGCGGUGAAAUGCGCAGAUAUCAGGAGGAACACCGGUGGCGAAGGCGGGUCUCUGGGACGGUACUGAACGCUGAAAAGCGAAAAGCCAGGG